UACCAAGGCGAUGAUGCAUAGCCGAGUUGAGAGACUGAUCGGCCACAUUGGGACUGAGACACGGCCCAAACUCCUGGCGGGAGGCAGCAGGUAGGGAAUCUUCCACAAUGGAACGCAAGUCUGAUGGAGCAACGCCGCGUGAGUGAAGAAGGGUUUCGGCUCGUAAAGCUCUGUUGUUGGUGAAGAAGGACAGGGGGUAGUAACUGACCUUUGUUUGACGGUAAUCAAUUAGAAAGUCACGGGCUAACUACGUGCCAGCAGCCGCGGUAAAU
rnacentral:rRNA from 1 species